CUGAAGCCAGAUUUGGACUCACAUCCUCCCGACUCCAGGGCCAGUGCUCUAUCCACUGCACCACCUAGCUGCCCUGACAACUUACUUUUAAAGGGCCACCUUGAUGGGAGGUAGCUGAGAUCUUGUUCAACCAAGAUUGGAGGCCCUGAUCUCACCUAAGAUGAAGAAACUGAGGCUCAAUGAAAAAAUCAGGCUGGAACAGUAUAUUAUUCCUUGAAUCUUCUUCAGCCACUCAAGUGUUUAAAAUACGGCUGUGGGGGCAGCUAGGUGGCACAGUGGAUAGAGCACCGGCCCUGGAGUCAGGAGUACCUGAGUUCAAAUCCGGCCUCAGACAAUUAACACUUACUAGCUGUGUGACUCUGGGCAAGUCACUUAACCCCAAUUGCCUCACUAAAAAAAAAAAAAUAAAAUAAAAAAAUAAAAAAAUAAAAAUAAAAAUAAAAAUAAAAUACGGCUGUGUGCAAGCAUGAGUCCUGAAGUUUCUCAUUCUGGAAAAAAGCUUUGUGUCUCUUCUAUGUAGACUGAGUUGUUGUGUUCUCUUUCUGAUAAUACACACAAAUUAUAUGGGUAGGACUUACAGGUUAAUUCAAAUAAACUUUCUUUUUCUCUAGGGUUGUGUUGAGAUGACUGAAAAACAACAAUGUACCAACCCAAAAUAGCACAGCCUAGGAGAUGUGGCAUUUUAGUUUUCUUACAAAUUGGGUGAGAUUGCUUCCUGAUUGAUCUAAUCAGUCAUUCAGAUCAAUAGGGUUGGAUAAUCUGGCUUGACAAUUUGCCAUGAGGCCAGGUUAGCAGAUAGAAUUUUCCUGUAUAGCAGCCCGGGUGAUCAAAUUGGUGAUGCCAUGAGAGUGAUUUCUUCAGACUCAUUAGGCCUUAAAUAUCCUCAUGUUUUAUUUGGUUGAGCUAGCUGCCACUAGGGAUGUUCAUGUUGAGUCUAGUUGUGUUGGAACAACCCAGUCCACUUUUUUCUCAGAAGCUUGGGUUUGUGAUUGAGGCAUAUCCACCCCACAACAAGUCAGAGCUUACUGAGGUUA